rnacentral:ribozyme from 12 species
UGGCACAUCUUGCUUUGUUUCGGUAUUUGCCUCAUCAACUUUUGCUUUCUUUGUUGCAUUUUCUUCUUCUUCAUCUGAGCGUGUGGCACCGAAUAUGGAAACAAACUUUGAGGCAAGCCAGA